AGAGUUUGAUCCUGGCUCAGGAUGAACGCUAGCUACAGGCUUAACACAUGCAAGUCGAGGGGCAGCAUUUCAGUUUGCUUGCAAACUGGAGAUGGCGACCGGCGCACGGGUGAGUAACACGUAUCCAACCUGCCGAUAACUCGGGGAUAGCCUUUCGAAAGAAAGAUUAAUACCCGAUGGUAUAAUUAGACCGCAUGGUCUUGUUAUUAAAGAAUUUCGGUUAUCGAUGGGGAUGCGUUCCAUUAGGCAGUUGGUGAGGUAACGGCUCACCAAACCUUCGAUGGAUAGGGGUUCUGAGAGGAAGGUCCCCCACAUUGGAACUGAGACACGGUCCAAACUCCUACGGGAGGCAGCAGUGAGGAAUAUUGGUCAAUGGGCGAGAGCCUGAACCAGCCAAGUAGCGUGAAGGAUGACUGCCCUAUGGGUUGUAAACUUCUUUUAUAUGGGAAUAAAGUUUUCCACGUGUGGAAUUUUGUAUGUACCAUAUGAAUAAGGAUCGGCUAACUCCGUGCCAGCAGCCGCGGUAAUACGGAGGAUCCGAGCGUUAUCCGGAUUUAUUGGGUUUAAAGGGAGCGUAGGUGGACAGUUAAGUCAGUUGUGAAAGUUUGCGGCUCAACCGUAAAAUUGCAGUUGAUACUGGCUGUCUUGAGUACAGUAGAGGUGGGCGGAAUUCGUGGUGUAGCGGUGAAAUGCUUAGAUAUCACGAAGAACUCCGAUUGCGAAGGCAGCUCACUGGACUGCAACUGACACUGAUGCUCGAAAGUGUGGGUAUCAAACAGGAUUAGAUACCCUGGUAGUCCACACAGUAAACGAUGAAUACUCGCUGUUUGCGAUAUACAGUAAGCGGCCAAGCGAAAGCAUUAAGUAUUCCACCUGGGGAGUACGCCGGCAACGGUGAAACUCAAAGGAAU
rnacentral:rRNA from 1 species